UACGUAGGCAGCGAGCGUUGUUCGGAGUUACUGGGCGUAAAGGGUGCGUAGGCGGUUGUUUAAGUUUGGUGUGAAAUCUCCCGGCUCAACUGGGAGGGUGCGCCGAAUACUGAAUGACUAGAGUGCGGGAGAGGAGAGUGGAAUUCCUGGUGUAGCGGUGAAAUGCGUAGAUAUCAGGAGGAACACCGGUGGUGUAGACGGCUCUCUGGACCGUAACUGACGCUGAGACACGAAAGCGUGGGUAGCAAACAGG
rnacentral:rRNA from 1 species